rnacentral:tRNA from 1 species
GACUGUAAAGCUCAAGGAGUUUUAAUUUUGAACAUUAAAGGAGGCGUAUAAUAAUGUCUACAGUUU